ACCAAAACAGCACUAAAGAGCAUUGUUUUCACAUCAAAUAGUAUCAAACAUUCCAGUUUCGAGUUUCUAGAAACACAAGUGCAUAAAUGUAUUAUUACAUGCCAGAUGGCCAAUUCAUAGAACCAAAAAUAAGGACCAGUAGCUGUUGGUUGCCAUCUCGACAUGCCUUCUCUGAAUCUUCUACUCAUCUCAGUGCUCUAGCAAGAACUCUACAAAAUGCAAUAAACAUCAGGUUAGCUAAAGUACAUGUUGAACUUGACAAGUUGACAUGAACAAAGAAUAUGGAUGUUACAUUCAUCAUCGGAAGAAGAAUUUUCAUCAUCUAGCUCAACCACUUCUGCCUUUCUCUUAUUACCUACAACAACUACAACAACAUGUUAGCUAUAAACUCUAAAGUACAUAGCAUGAAGAAAUAAACAAAGUAAGUUAAACUAUAUACCAUCUUUCUUCUCCAAUUUGCAGCGAUACCAAUCUUGCAAACACAUCAAGGCCUCAACUGUCUUUGGUUUAAGUGAGGCUCGGCUCGAGGUUAUAACCUUCUUACUCAAGCUGAAAGCAGAUUCUAAUGCAACACUUGACACGGGAACAACAAGGAUAUCACGUGCCAAUCUUGCUAGCUGCGGAUACCUAGCUGCAGACUUGCUCCAGUAAUCCAAGAUAUCAAUGUUCUCAUUCAACCUCUUGGUAGGUUCAGCCAAGUACAAUUCCAAUUCAGAUUCCUCGUCAACUGUGCUCGUGCUUUCCACAUACUGAUCAUAGUCAGAAAAGGCACCAAGUCCACAAGUGCUUGACAUACUAGUUUUGGGUAAGUUGUCAUGAACAGGUACAACACUACCAUAUUCAUUAAAUAAAGAAGUCAAGGUUCUUCUAACAUCAGCAAGACGACGCUUGGUAUCAUUCUCUUCAUACAGCUUGGAGUAGGAAUAAGCCAAGAACUUGAACUUAAUACGGGGAUCAAGAACAGCAGCACAAGAUAGAAAUACGCUAUAGUCAGACCAAUAUUUCAUGAACUUUUCUCUCAUAGCAAACAGCAUUGGACCCAUGUAGCUAUUUAUACCAGCGGUAGCCUCAAUAAUAGCAGUAUGGACUAGAUAAAAAUUCAUGAAGUACAAGUUGGCUGUUGGAUAUUUUGUUCCUGAGAAAACAGUAGUUACCUUGAAGAAAACCUCCAAAAACUGAUACAUAUGAGAUACCUUGGACAAUUCUUCCUCACUUGGCCAAAAAUGCACCUUGAAGAUGCUAUCCCUCUCAGAAUACCACUGCAACACUUUUUUAAAGUACAAAUAGGAGCCAAGCAUAGUAUAUGUUGAAUUCCAACGAAUAGGCAUGUAAGGUUUCAACUUCUUUGAUUCUUCUAAGUUGAAAGUAGUUGUAGCAGUGCUAUAAAACUUGUGCAGCCUAUUACUUGAAGCCUUUAGAUACAUUAUACCAUCUCUAAGUUUGGCCACAACACCAUCAAUCAAUGUCAAACCAGAUUGAACUACCAAAUUCAGUAUGUGUGCACAACAACGAAUUUGAAAGAAUUUGCCGGACAAAGGUAAAGCACCUUGAGACAAGUGGGUGCACUGCUGUUGUGCUUUGGCUGUAGGCUGCUGCUGUGCUUCGGCUGUAGGCUGUUGUUGUGCUGCCGAUUGUCCACUUCCUGAACGUGCACUAGAUGCUGACCUCUUCCCCCUUUUACUUGCAACUUUCUGCCGUACACGAGGAGGAUUUGGAGGUACAAUAAACAGCUCCAUCUCACCCUCAUGCCCUUCUAAUUCUUCAGGAUGAUAAUCUGCUUCAUCACCCUCAUGCCCCUCCAUGCUAAAUCUAUAUCAACAACAAGAAAUAUAUAUGUCAAUAGCAAGAAAUAUAUAUGUCAACAGCAGCAAGAAAUCUAUAUCAACACACACUUAUAGCCAUUGUUUCAUCAAUCAUCUACACACACUUGUAUUCAUGUACAACAGCGAGUUCAUCUACAGUUCUACACACACUUAUAUUCAUGUACAGCAGCAACAAAUCUGCAUCAAAUCCAUCAUGUUGACAUGUAUGUACACCUGCUAAUCGGUUAAGAACGGAAAAAAAAUCCGCAUCAAAUUACCUUAAGAGCAGAGGUGCGGCGACGCUCGGACGACAGC
rnacentral:lncRNA from 1 species